rnacentral:rRNA from 1 species
CGCGUAGGCGGCUCGAUAAGUCAAAGGUGAAAUCCCUCGGCUCAACUGAGGAACUGCCUUUGAAACCGUCGAGCUCGAGUCCGGGAGGGGGUAGCGGAAUUCCCAGUGUAGCGGUGAAAUGCGUAGAUAUUGGGAGGAACACCAGUGGCGAAGGCGGCUACCUGGACCGGUUCUGACGCUGAUGCGCGAAAGCGUGGGUAGCAAACA